ensembl:lncRNA
CAACAAGCUGCGCCACUUCACUCCGUCUGAUGGAAGUUAAAGUGAAGCACGGAGCUCCUUUUUUACACAGACUUGCUGAGGACAAAGAGAGCUGCACACUGAGCAAGCUCAUGUUUACAAGUUCAGUUGUGGUGAACAUGUGAAGGUGUGGACCCUGCUAUGAAUCAGGGUGAGGACCGAGAGGAGGGAGUCCCUCCCAAUGAAGCCUCUCUGUGUGGGGAACUUGACAGCCAGACCAAAGCUCAGAGGAUCCAUCAGAGACCAGGACCUGGACCUGGAGCUGGAUCAAGCCCUGAACUCACUUGUGUGUCCUUGAAGAAUAACGGGUCUCUGGAUGCUUCUAUCAUCUUCAAAGACUGUCCCUCUGUUGAAGCAAGUGUUUCUUUCAGUGCACAUCAGCAGAGAGAAAAGUCUCCUGAACCCAUCUGUGUGUCCAUGAAGAGUGAUCAGUCUCAACAUCACCUGGUUAACUUCAAAGAAGACCACCAUUCUAAUGACCCAGAGUAAGUUCUUAAAACAGAUGGAAAACUUCUCAGAUCCUCAUUUAUGAAUUACAGAAAUGGUUGGGCAUUGUUUCAAUAUCAUGACAGAAUGUAUUAUCUUUAUCUAACCAGUCUGUAUGUGUUUAAGUGUUAAUCAUUAACUGUAAACAUUCUCAGGUGUCAAAGUCAGCUUAAUUGUCAAUUCCUCGAAAUGUACCAAACAUACUGUAUAAUGGGGAUGAAAAAUGUAGUGGGUGUCAUCAUCUUUGGUGAUGAGACCCACCAGAGUUGUGUUGUCUACAAACUUGUAAUAAGUGCUGUCGUGGGUCAGCAAGGUGAAGGGCAGUGGACUGUGAGCACACAGCCUUGAGGGGCCCCUGUGCUAAGUUUUUGUUGCUGCAGCCACAGGCCUGCUUGAUUGAUUAUUUUUAAUGAGUCCCAUCAUCACAGGAGGCCCCCUCUGGCCACACCUGCACCUGCUUCAGAAACGGUCUAGAGACUCUCACUCUUGGUCUGUAUGCUGACAUUAGCAUGACAGUGAUGUGGUCAGAGAGCCCUAUGUGGGGUAGGGGUGAGGCCUUGUACGCUCCUUUGUGAGUGUAGACCAGAUCCAAGAUAUUUUCCCCUCUUGUUGGGAAAUAAACAUUCAAUGCAAUUCAUUUUAUUUUGUAUAGCCCAUAAUCGCAAAUUACAAAUUUGCCUCAGAGGGCUUUACAGUCUGUACACAUACAACAUCCUCUGUCCCAAAACCCACCAUCGGCACAGGAAAAACUCCCCAAAAAAUGAAAAAACCCUUUCAAGAGGGAAAAAGGGGAAGAAACCUGAGGGAGAACGUCAGAGGAGGGAUCCCACUCCUGGGAUGGACAGACUACAAUGGAUGCCAUGUGUACAGAAUGAAUAAUAUAUAAUAUAUGCAAUUCCUAUG